rnacentral:lncRNA from 1 species
AAAAGUCUACAACCAAAAGACUUCAAAAGACCAGUUCUCAAAAAGAUAUUGUUCUAACUGUCCUACUCCUCGGAUCUCCUCAGCUUGGUUCCAGAUCCACCACUCUACGGCCAUGAAAGGAAAAUAAGCCCACGACGGGGUGAGAUAUAAAUCUCAGUGAAUUCACGCUCUAAACGCUGAUUAGGAGGGUAAUACGCCUAGAGGUAUCCUAACCACACAAUUACACAAUCACAGAGACUUAGCUCACCUCAGAUCCUCCCUGCAGGUCAGCAUAGUUCAUAUCAUAGACAUCAUAAA